GAUGAACGCUGGCGGCGUGCCUAAUACAUGCAAGUCGAGCGAACAGACGAGGAGCUUGCUCCUCUGACGUUAGCGGCGGACGGGUGAGUAACACGUGGAUAACCUACCUAUAAGACUGGGAUAACUUCGGGAAACCGGAGCUAAUACCGGAUAAUAUAUUGAACCGCAUGGUUCAAUAGUGAAAGACGGUUUUGCUGUCACUUAUAGAUGGAUCCGCGCCGCAUUAGCUAGUUGGUAAGGUAACGGCUUACCAAGGCGACGAUGCGUAGCCGACCUGAGAGGCGAGGAAGAGAAAAGAGAACGGAGCCGCGGGCCAGAUUACUACGGGAGGAGGCAGGGGGGAAGAUGGGAAAAGGGUGGCAAACCUGAUCAAUCUAUAACGAGUGGGGGAAGAAGGUAUUAGGGUCGUAAAGCCAUUGUAUUGGGAAAGAAAAGAAGCAGGUUAAUACCCCGCCGUUCUGACGGGACGCAAAGAAGAAGCAGAGGCUAACUUCGUG
rnacentral:rRNA from 1 species